AGGUUAAGCUAGAAAGGGCGCACGGUGGAUGCCUUGGCACUAGGAGCCGAUGAAGGACGGGGCAAACGCCGAAACGCUCCGGGGAGCUGUAAGCAAGCGUGGAUCCGGAGAUGUCCGAAUGGGGGAACCCACUGCUCGUAAUGGGGCAGUAUCCAUGCCUGAAUCCAUAGGGCAUGGAGGGCACACCCGGGGAACUGAAACAUCUUAGUACCCGGAGGAGAAGAAAGCAAACGCGAUUCCCCGAGUAGCGGCGAGCGAAACGGGAACAGCCCAAACCAAGAGGCGUGUCCUCUUGGGGUUGUAGGACCGCUCAUGGUGGGAGUGAGAAAGGGACGGGGUAGACGAACCGGUCUGGAACGGCCGGCCAGAGAAGGUGAGAGCCCUGUAGUCGAAACUUCGUUCCCUCCCGAGCGGAUCCUGAGUACGGCGGGACACGAGGAAUCCCGUCGGAAGCAGGGAGGACCAUCUCCCAAGGCUAAAUACUCCCUAGUGACCGAUAGUGAACCAGUACCGUGAGGGAAAGGUGAAAAGCACCCCGGGAGGGGAGUGAAAGAGAACCUGAAACCGUGUGCCUACAAGUAGUCAGAGCCCGUUGAUGGGUGAUGGCGUGCCUUUUGUAGAAUGAACCGGCGAGUGACGAUGGCGUGCGAGGUUAAGCCGAAGAGGCGGAGCCGCAGCGAAAGCGAGUCUGAACAGGGCGAAAAGUACGUCGUCGUCGACCCGAAACCAGGUGAUCUACCCAUGUCCAGGGUGAAGGCCGGGUAACACCGGCUGGAGGCCCGAACCCACGCACGUUGAAAAGUGCGGGGAUGAGGUGUGGGUAGGGGUGAAAUGCCAAUCGAACUUGGAGAUAGCUGGUUCUCCCCGAAAUAGCUUUAGGGCUAGCCUCGGGCUUGAGAGUGUUGGAGGUAGAGCACUGAUUGGGCUAGGGGCCCAAACCGGGUUACCGAACCCAGUCAAACUCCGAAUGCCAACGACUUAUGCCCGGGAGUCAGACGGCGAGUGAUAAGAUCCGUGGUCGAGAGGGGAACAGCCCAGACCGCCAGCUAAGGCCCCCAAGUGCACGUUCAGUGGAAAAGGAUGUGGAGUUGCCAAGACAACCAGGAUGUUGGCUUAGAAGCAGCCACCAUUUAAAGAGUGCGUAAUAGCUCACUGGUCGAGUGACUCUGCGCCGAAAAUGUACCGGGGCUAAACGUGCCGCCGAAGCUGCGGGAUGACCGUUGGUCAUCGGUAGGGGAGCGUUCUAAGGGCAGAGAAGCCAGACCGGAAGGACUGGUGGAGCGCUUAGAAGUGAGAAUGCCGGUAUGAGUAGCGAAAACAGAGGUGAGAAUCCUCUGCGCCGAAAGCCUAAGGGUUCCUGAGGAAGGUUCGUCCGCUCAGGGUUAGUCGGGACCUAAGCCGAGGCCGAAAGGCGUAGGUGAUGGACAACAGGUUGAGAUUCCUGUACCACCUUCUUCCCGUUUGAGCGAUGGGGGGACGCAGGAGGAUAGGGCGAGCAGGCGGCUGGAAGAGCCUGUCCAAGCCGUGAGGCUGAUCCGCAGGCAAAUCCGCGGAUUGGAAGGCCGAGCGGUGACGGCGACGGAGUCAUCCGGAAGUCCCCGAUUUCACACUGCCAAGAAAAGCCUCUAGCGAGGGAAGAGGUGCCCGUACCGCAAACCGACACAGGUAGGCGAGGAGAGAAUCCUAAGGCGCGCGGGAGAACUCUCGUUAAGGAACUCGGCAAAAUGACCCCGUAACUUCGGGAGAAGGGGUGCUCUUUGGGGUGAAGAGCCCUGAAGAGCCGCAGUGAAAAGGCCCAAGCGACUGUUUAUCAAAAACACAGGUCUCUGCGAAGCCGAAAGGCGACGUAUAGGGGCUGACACCUGCCCGGUGCUGGAAGGUUAAGGGGAGCGCUUAGCGGAAGCGAAGGUGCGAACCGAAGCCCCAGUAAACGGCGGCCGUAACUAUAACGGUCCUAAGGUAGCGAAAUUCCUUGUCGGGUAAGUUCCGACCCGCACGAAAGGUGUAACGACUUGGGCGCUGUCUCAACGAGAGACCCGGUGAAAUUAUACUACCUGUGAAGAUGCAGGUUACCCGCGACAGGACGGAAAGACCCCGUGGAGCUUUACUGCAGCCUGAUAUGGAAUUUUGGUAUCGCUUGUACAGGAUAGGUGGGAGCCUGGGAAGCCGGAGCGCCAGCUUCGGUGGAGGCGGCGGUGGGAUACCACCCUGGCGGUAUUGAAAUUCUAACCCGCACCCCUUAGCGGGGUGGGAGACAGUGUCAGGCGGGCAGUUUGACUGGGGCGGUCGCCUCCCAAAAGGUAACGGAGGCGCCCAAAGGUUCCCUCAGAAUGGUUGGAAAUCAUUCGGAGAGUGCAAAGGCACAAGGGAGCUUGACUGCGAGACGGACAGGUCGAGCAGGGACGAAAGUCGGGCUUAGUGAUCCGGUGGUUCCGCAUGGAAGGGCCAUCGCUCAACGGAUAAAAGCUACCCCGGGGAUAACAGGCUGAUCUCCCCCAAGAGUCCACAUCGACGGGGAGGUUUGGCACCUCGAUGUCGGCUCAUCGCAUCCUGGGGCUGUAGUCGGUCCCAAGGGUUGGGCUGUUCGCCCAUUAAAGCGGUACGCGAGCUGGGUUCAGAACGUCGUGAGACAGUUCGGUCCCUAUCCGUCGCGGGCGGAGGAAAUUUGAGAGGAGCUGUCCUUAGUACGAGAGGACCGGGAUGGACGCACCGCUGGUGUACCAGUUGUCCCGCCAGGGGCACCGCUGGGUAGCUAUGUGCGGACGGGAUAAGCGCUGAAAGCAUCUAAGCGUGAAGCCCCCCUCAAGAUGAGAUUUCCCACCGCGUUAGGCGGGUAAGAUCCCUCGAAGAUGACGAGGUCGAUAGGUCCGAGGUGGAAGCGUGGCGACACGUGGAGCUGACGGAUACUAAUCGAUCGAGGGCUUAACCUAG
rnacentral:rRNA from 1 species